rnacentral:rRNA from 1 species
UACAGAGGUCCCAAGCGUUGUUCGGAUUCACUGGGCGUAAAGGGUGCGUAGGCGGUCGGGUAAGUCUGAUGUGAAAUCUCACAGCUUAACUGUGAAACUGCAUUGGAUACUAUUCGGCUUGAGAGUUGGAGGGGGGACUGGAAUUCUUGGUGUAGCAGUGAAAUGCGUAGAUAUCGGGAGGAACAUCAGUGGCGAAGGCGACCACCUGGCCCAACACUGACGCUGAGGUGCGAAAGCGUGGGUAGCAAACAGG